AAAACACAUCUCUUUAACCUGGCAUACACAUAACAUAUUCUAAUCUUCUAUAUUUCAUAUCAGUUAAAUGAUUGUUAGGCGUCAUAAACUAGGUCAGCCGGAAUCGGGAACACUUCCCACAACACCUGAUGUACGUGUUAUAUCAUAAGAAGAUUUGCAUCUACUCUAAUAUUAGUUUCUCUGUUUAUCCUGAGGUUACCGUAGUUAGCCAUAUCCGGGCCGUAUCCAGAUCAGAUGGAGGACCUGUGCCUAGACACGACCACAUCGCAGCCUUGAAUUGUCAGCAGCAAUUCUGUCAACUAGACAAUCCCCUGUGAAGGUCUCAUCGACUCAACAGCCAGUGGCACAGAUCCUCAACAAAACCCAUCUUCAUACCGGUGUGGUGAAUCCAAUCUUCAACCAGAUGGAACUGGAUUAAAUAUUUUGAAUGUUCUGAUGCCAAUCUGACUUCUGACCUGUGAUGCCACCUGAAUCAUAUAAUCAUACAGUGAUCGUUUGUUGGCCAGAGGAGAAUUGGCACCCCAACUGAGCCUGUUUUUUCUCCCAAGGUUUUUUUUCUCUCCAUUCUUUCAUCUUUUCCACCAAGGCAGUUUGAGUGCUGGUUCGGAGCCAGAGCCAAGUUUCAAAUCAGUUCUUUGUCUUUCGACACACAAAGCACUAGCUCCGAACCAGGAAAAGUGGUUCGUAAUUACCACCAAAACAUUGCUGGGCUAGAAGUAAGAACCGAUUGCGUCGAGAAGGGUAUUCCUGCACAACCGGAGGCUGCAGUUUCAGGACCGCAGUUCUAGGACCCUAGUUUUUCGUGACAGCGCCACCUACCGUACUGGAUCAACACUAAUUAAAGAUGGACAACGUGGACAGCAAUCAGACAAUGCAUAUAACAAUCCAAAAAGGGAGAUCCCUGCCCGAAUUGAAGAGAUGCACCACAUGCUGCAAGGACUUUCACUGCCCGUUCUGUAGUUCAGCUUUGUUCCACCCAUCAAAGUUGAGCAAGAUCAGAACCCAUUUAGAGAGCCAUUUCAAUCAUGCAGUUAUCCAUGAAGAGUUGAAGCCUACAGCCAUUCUAUCCAUGCAGCAACUGAUGGAAAAGGGGUUCGCUUUGGUGCUGUUAUCACAAAAAUGACAUAUCAUAUAUAUAUAUAUAUAUAAAUAAACAAACAAACAUUCUUGAAUCAUUCU